rnacentral:lncRNA from 13 species
CAGGGCAAAAACACUUGUGAUGUGACAGAUGAACAGGCUAGCACCCUGGAAAACCUAAUACUUUUAGUGAGAUGUUAGAAAGUAUGUAUUUUUGUCCUUUCAGAUUUUUUAGGAAUCUUGCAUGUAUGGGGGAUAAAUAGACAUAAAAGUAUUAAACUAUCUGCACAAAAUCAACUUAGUUAUCUACUUGCCUAAAGCCCUUUGCAGUCAGAAUUCUCCUUUGUUAAGAGUUGAAUAUGAGUAUUGUUGUUUCUGUUUACCCCUGGCCCCCUUCAAGAAUCCACAGCUCAGCUGUCUAUACAGUCAUCCUGUGACAGCUUCAUCAUCACCCUCACCUCCUCCCAGGGUUUCCCCCAGCCUGAUGUGUGGUGGACAGACUCCAUUGGAGGAGACAUCUACAAUUAGAGCCACUGCUAAAUCGGUCUGGAAAGCAGGGGGCGCUAUGAGGUCCACAGCUCCAUGGAGGUCAGGCCAAACAGUACACUCACCAUCAUUGCUGAAAUGAGACUGGAGGAUCUCAAUCAAAGCUUCACCCGCUCGCUCACCCUCCACCCACUCCCAGAAUGCUGUGAGCUGCUUCUUGCAACCGGGGGCAGACCGGCUUUGGUAUUAUUAGGGAUAGUUCUCUUAGCAGCUUCAGACGUCUGAAACACACCAACACCAGCUGAUCCCACAUGACUAUACAACAGGACAAGAUGAGGCUCAUGAAACAGAGACUUGAUACAUCAUGAACAAAAAUUAGUUAUAAAAGUCUAAGCUUACAGGACUGUUUCAAUGUCACAAAUAUAGGUGUGUGUGUUGCUGCCUUCUGAAAUAUUUCCACUCCCUAUUGGUAAUGUAUUAUAGAGUACUGCUAGCAGUAGACUUUGCUACUCUCUGCAGCCCUAUGUAAUCCAGACUAUUUUGUUUUCUUUGGGGAUGCAGAGCUGUCAUGAAGGUGAAGAGUGGCUGCUUUGAAGAGUCUCAAAUAUACAUUUAGAUUUGUUUAACACUUUUUUUGAUUACGGCAUGAUUUCAUAAAGUGUUAUUUCAUAGUUUUGAUGUCUUCACUAUUAUGCUACAAUGUAGAAAAUAGUACAAAUAAAGAAAAACCUUUGAAUGAGUUGGUGUGUCCAAACAUUUGACUGGUACUGUACAUUUUGUCCAAUGUUACUGUCAAAUGUGGCCUGGUAACAACAACUGGGAAAAGUACUAUCCACCUUACAG